rnacentral:rRNA from 1 species
CGCUCUCUUCGGAGGGAGCGGCGGACGGGUGAGUAACGCGUGGGAACGUGCCCUUCUCUGCGGAAUAGCCACUGGAAACGGUGAGUAAUACCGCAUACGCCCUUCGGGGGAAAGAUUUAUCGGAGAAGGAUCGGCCCGCGUUAGGUUAGAUAGUUGGUGGGGUAAUGGCCUACCAAGUCUACGAUCUAUAGCUGGUUUUAGAGGAUGAUCAGCCACACUGGGACUGAGACACGGCCCAG